UACGGGGGGUGCAAGCGUUGUUCGGAAUUAUUGGGCGUAAAGAGCGUGUAGGCGGCUUGGUAAGUCAGAUGUGAAAGCCCCGGGCUUAACCCGGGAAGUGCAUUUGAAACUGCCUGGCUAGAGUAGGGGAGAGGGAAGUGGAAUUCCUGGUGUAGAGGUGAAAUUCGUAGAUAUCAGGAGGAACACCGGUGGCGAAGGCGACUUCCUGGCCCUAUACUGACGCUGAGACGCGAGAGCGUGGGUAGCAAACAGG
rnacentral:rRNA from 1 species